CCGACCGACCAACUGUAUUUUUCUUCUGACUUGUAUUCCAAUUUUACACUAUCAGCGCCUCGUCCAAUUUUCUGUUACUAAGGCUCGACUCGGUGCCUGGUGUUGAUCCGUCGUUGAGGGACUCGAGGAGGAAGGUGAGCCGUCGGAUCGUGGGGUUGUAGGAGAUACUAGACGCGAUUUUGGAAGCGAAGGUGCUGGGCGAUGAUCACUAUUAUCAUGCGUGGGGUAAACCUUGGGGUUAUGGAUACGAUAGCUCGACGAGGAAUUGGGACGACGUUGUGAGGAGAUGGAGGAGGAGGUUUGCAGGGAAAGAGGUGGUGACGAGAUGGAGAGGUUUUGUGCGCAGAGGUUUCGGUGCUUACAGAGGUUUUUGAAUGAGCCCUGAUCCUUUUGUUCGGUUUCCGUCGGGUUUACUAGGGAACAAGUUGAACAACUUGACAAGAACAAGCAAUGGUCCACGGCAUUUGAUGGUCCUGAUUACCUCCCAGGAAUGGUACCUAUCUUUGGGGGUUGUUCAUUGUGGCUCCAUAGAAGCACGGAGGUGGCGGAGAUGUAGGAGGAGAUUUGCAGGGAAAGAGGUGGUGACGAGAUGGCAUUUAAUUUUCUCUGUAAAUUAUAUUGUACAUGAUGGUGUGAAUCUAUUUUAUGCAAGCAUGUGGAGGCUAAGAUGGCGUUCAAAUUUGGGUAAAUGGAUGAUAGCAAAGGCUUUGAGAGGAGCAUUUUCCUGGCCGCCCCUGUCCACUGGUUUGUUUAAGCUUUGGGGGUGACACUUUGAAGAGGGUGGGAUAGUUGGAUGUGUAACCAAGUGGAGGGAAGUUAGACAGAAGCAUAAAUCGUGCAACCUACAACUUGAAGAGGUGAGAUGAUUUUCUGCCCUGUUUUCUUAUAAAGAGAGGAAUCCAAGAUGUGUACAAUUUCAAAAAAAAAAAAAUCCGCUGUAGUUUUAGCUCUACUUCUUCCUCUAUUUGAAUAAAUUUUAAUUUUGUUUAAGCCUUCAUUUUUACGUGUUAAACCAGUAGAGGUUAGUAUGUAUUUUCAAAUAAAAGUUCAUAAAUCAUUGCUAAUUUGUUUCUUUAAGAGUAAAAAUUUCACCUGUGGCUUUACAUGUAGACUGCUACUUUGGAGGAAUUGACUCAGAAUUUUAUGAUGUUUUCAUUUCCUAAUUACUAUUGUCUCUGAUCAGAAAAAUUUUGAUUGCCUUGAAUAGUGUGAUGUCUCACUCUCAAUUACAUUAGAUUUAUGAUAAGUGCUUCCAUCAUGAUAUGGUUGUAGAGUGUUGGAUCUUGCAACGAUCCUACAAAUCCAAUAUGCAAAUCACUGUGAUCAUAUUAUUUUUUUAAGUUGAUUCUUAAAGCACUGCAAUCAUAUUAUUGAAAAAAAAAAAAGCAAGAAAGAAAAAUUACUGUGAUGAUAGUCUCUAUGUGCAUUGUGGGAGAUGGAAGGUACCUAAUGAUGUUUUCAAAUAAGAACACAACCCUGCCUCUAAUCAUUAUUACCAUUCACAAUCUUUCAUGCUCCCACUACAUAAGAAGUGGACUGCCACUUCAUAUGCAAUAAGGUACUCAACAAGGAAAUUCAGAUUAUAGCAACUGGUGCUCAAGUUGCUGAUGUCUUGAAUGAGGGCUUAACAACUACAAGAUUUUCCUUCCUUUGUGACAAGCUUAUGGUUCAGCCUCUCCCUAUUAGCUUGCGGGGCUAUGUUAACCAUAGUGAUUCUUAAGUCAAUGACUUAUCUCCCAGCCAAGAUUCAAGCCAUCACAUUCAAAGCUCAUGUUCGAUACUUUUAAACGAUGAUCAUACUGGCACCAAAUCUGCUGUUACAUUAUUGUUUCCUUUCGUAGAAUAUUUGUACAUCCAGCUGUGUACAGGUUAAUGUAUUCAUAUGACUGCUAGCUAUAUAUAAUCUCUCGCACGUGUGAAUGUAUAUAUAUUUAAACACCACCAACAUAUCAAUGAAAUUAUACAUUUUUUCUAUCCAUUAUUUGAUUUCUUACAGAAAGGACGUGCAUUGAUGAACUUAAGCCGAUCACCCUCAAUCCACUUCUAAAUGUUUAUCCACACCUCCAUGUAAGAAUUAUCAUUUUAGAAUUCUCUAGAUGAUAAUGACGAGAACUGAUGAAAGGUGUAGGUGAGAAUUUUGUUUUAUAUUUCUUAGUUGAAGCAAAAAGUACUUUGUUUUUAGUGCUUGAUUGAGAAAAUUUGUGGGGCAGUAAGAUAUUACCAGUAUUGCUCAUAUUCAUCAUGAUUUUACUUCACAAAUAUCUCAUCCUUCAAGCCUUCAGAAAAGUUGAUCCGAUAAUCUUGAGAAGGGUUUAGACUUAUAGGUUUGGUGGCAGGUCUAUUUUUGUAUCUUUAGAUAUCAUCAUUCAGUUUUAUUUGAUUCAAUAAAUCUUCUUAUUACUUUUUAAAAAAAGAUUUUGAGAAGUAUAUGCUUCAUAUGAUGGAAGUUGGGGAUGCAUGUUGGGUUAAAGAGUGUUUAGGAGCUAAUCAUUUGAUCCUUAACUUCUGCACCAGAUGAAUUUCUACCAUCUUCUGGAAUUCCUUGAGGAUGAGCCUUCAAUAUUGAUUUUGUAAUUGGCUUGUAAUGGGCACUUUAGUUAUCUUGGAAGACCCUUGGUACAGAGUAAUCGAUUGUAUGUGUGGGACCUUUAGAUAACUGGAUAUACCUUUCUCUUCCUUUGGUGGAGUUAUUAUUGGUGUUUUGGAUUGAAUACAUUUCUUGUUCCGUAUACAUUUCCUGUCAAACUUGACUAGGAACUACAAAGGGUUUAAUUUGUGAUUGUAGAAUAGAAGAAUUUAUGCGUUAUGAGUCUGCUCCAGUAGCAACUGUGCAUUGUGUGAAUUGGUUUCUAAACCCAUUCUUUAUUAUCUACUUAUUUAUAAAAAAAAAAAAAAAAAAAAAAAAAAAAAAAAAAAAAAAAGAAGAAGAAAAAGAAGAAGAAGAAGAAGCUAUUCUUUACAAUCUAAUCAGGCAUUAGUGCUUGUUGAUGGUUGCCAGUUAGAUUUUACAUUCUAUGCAAUGAGGAUGAUCUGAUACGAGUGUGCAUGUAUUUAUGUGUACAUUCUUUUGGUCAAUGUAUAAGUAUUGAACACUUAACCUGCUUUGACAUUGUGUGGCAGUUACUUAUGCUUUAAUGUUAUGUAAGUGCUUCAUAAUCAUGAUGGACACUGAUUCUUUGUGGGUUGUUUCACACCAUCUAGGAUUUGGACUUGCCUUUGGAUGAUAAGUUUCCCAAAAUAUUUAUCAAAAAAAAAAAAAAUAGUUUCCAAAAAGUUUAAUUAAGUAGUUUGAAUAAAUUGGCAGUGUGUUGCUGUCAGUUAUAAAUGUGAUACUGUUACUGAGAGUGGACAUUUACCGUUUUGCUGUUAGUUCAUAGAAUGUUGUCUAAAAGGAGGAAAAUGGUAUUAAUGAUAGGUAUAUUUGCUCUUUUUAUGAUUCCAUAGGAUUACAUUCUUUUGGGUUUGACAGUAGUGCAAUCUUUUUUGUUGAAAUGUAAGAUUCUGCCACUUCUAUAGUUUCUUCCCUUUCUUGAUUAGUAUAAUAAUUUAAUUUAAAAAACACAAAAGGUGCAUUCCAUGUAUGAACAGGUGUGUGAAAGUCAUCUAGCUAGAACUUUUUUUUGAUAGCUAGAAAUUGGAAAAGAUUCAAAUAAUCAUAUGGGAAGUAAGCCCAUCAUUCCUUUCGCUCUAAAUAUACCAUAUGAGGAGGCAUGUAAGAAUCAUUUUUCACACUGCUUAGAUGAGUGAACUACCACCUAAUCCUCUACAUAAGUAAAAAAGGUCCACUAUGCUUUUGGGGUUGACUGUGGAAUCCCUUUCGCGAAAGAGUUCGGUUACCUGCAGUUCCCUUAUAUCUUCGAUCUGCUUUUGGCAAAUUUCAGGUGGGUCUUAACAACAUUAAAGAUACAGAUUUUGUGAAUGUCAUAAUACAAUCUUUGAUGAGAGUUACUUCUUUAAGAAAUUUUUUCCUUAUCCCUGAAAAUUAUAGACAUGGCAAAUCUCUACUUUGUUCAUCGAUUUGGAGAACUCACACGAAAGAUUUGGCAUACACGGAACUUCAAAGGACAGGUUUGUUUCUAGUGAUUUCCAUAAUCAAUUAAUUUUUCCUGACAUGAGAUUCAUCUUAAUCUUUUUUUUUUUUUUUAAUGUUUACAAGUGAGCCCACGAGUUUCUGCAGGUAGUUAUGAAAGACCGUAAAAAUGAUUUCGGAUAGGUGCAGGAUAGGUGCACGGUCAGACCCGGUUGAAUUGAUGUCAUGGUUUCUUAACACACUUCACAAGGAUCUUAAAACAUAGAAAAAUAAAAGCAUUAUCUAUGAUUGCUUUCAGGUUGUCUAUUUUAUCCUUAUUUUCUUGUUGUUCACUUUGUUGUUUAUGGUUGGAUUCACUGGAUUUCACCAGUGCUUAUCCAAAAUGUACAAUAUACUUGAUAUGGCGAAUUGGAGGUUGUGAAAGAGAUGCAAAACAAAGCUGUCAUUGAGAAGCAAGAAAAUGGUGACUGCCAGAAUUUUGUUUCUAAAUUCGCAGGUGGUGGAACUGAACAUGAAGUGGUUGUGACUGAAACUUCCAGAGUGCCAUACUUAGUGCUUGGACUGCAUUUGCCCCAACCUCCACUUUUCAAAGAUGUCAUGGAGAAAAACAUAAUACCCCAGGUAGAUUUUGAUUUCUUUGUUAGUAUGAUUGCAACAUUAAUGGAAUAUAUAUUGAAAAAAGUUGAGUUAUAAUUGUGGGGUGAAGGGCAGAGGAGGGGGGCUGUUUAAAUAGUGUUCUCUAUUUUUUGAGUAGUAUUCAGAUCGACUUUGAUAGGUGGGUAAAAGUUAGAGAGCCAAUAGUAGUGCUCUAGGGAGAUUUGGAAUUGAUGAGUUCUUUGAAGGUCCUGUUCUGUUCUCAAAAAAUAACACAAAAAGAAAAUGGAAGAUAGAGAGGGUUAAUUUGGUCUGAAAAAAUAAUUGUGCAAAUUUCAUUCCUUGUUAACAUAUUCUCGAUAUUUGUUUUGUCCCAUGUUACUUCAGUUUCCCAUCAGGUUGAAAUAAUUGAUUUGCUUAUUUAUAUUCCAAGUACCAAAGCUCCUUUACUUUUCAAAACAUUACGUCCCGCAGACUAAGCCGCAGUUGUAACCAGGUUUUGCAUAUCUUCCAUGUAUCCAGGCACAAAACCAGCAACAAAAUAGAACUUUUCAUGAUUGUAAUUUAUUAUUUUUAGUUUGUAACUUAUUAUUUGUAAACAAUUUUAUUUUAUCAUGGAUAUAGUUCAUAUAUAUUAUCAAGCUAUUUUCUUUCAA